rnacentral:rRNA from 1 species
UACGGAGGGUGCAAGCGUUGCUCGGAAUUACUGGGCGUAAAGCGCGUGUAGGCGGUCCGGCAAGUCAGGUGUGAAAUCCCUCGGCUCAACUGAGGAACUGCGCCUGAUACUAUCGGACUCGAGUCCCGGAGAGGAUGGCAGAAUUCCCGGUGUAGAGGUGAAAUUCGUAGAUAUCGGGAGGAACACCAGUGGCGAAGGCGGCCAUCUGGACGGGUACUGACGCUGAGACGCGAAAGCGUGGGGAGCAAACAGGAUUAGAUACCCGGUAGU